rnacentral:sRNA from 1 species
CCGGCCGCCAGUGUAGGAAACGAAGACUGACAGGGAGCCGACUUUGGCGUCAUUGCAUGUCCUGUGGAGUGUUGUGCACAAUUACGAGGCGGCAAAUCAAGGCUGGGAUGUCCAGCGGAUUGCGGUGUCCGUAACGAUUUGGAUGCAAGAUGGUUCCAAAGGGAAUGGCGAGUCAAAUAACAAGCGGCCGACGGCUGACGUAUCAUUGUAAAAUCCCUCAGAAUGUCCACUUGGUGAAGGAGAUAUGAGUAAUGUUGCGGGAGGGAAAGUCAACAGC